rnacentral:rRNA from 1 species
GAUGAACGCUGGCGGCGUGCCUAAUACAUGCAAGUCCAGCGAACAGACGAGGAGCUUGCUCCUCUGACGUUAGCGGCGGACGGGUGAGUAACACGUGGAUAACCUACCUAUAAGACUGGGAUAACUUCGGGAAACCGGAGCUAAUACCGGAUAAUAUAUUGAACCGCAUGGUUCAAUAGUGAAAGACGGUUUUGCUGUCACUUAUAGAUGGAUCCGCGCCGCAUUAGCUAGUUGGUAAGGUAACGGCUUACCAAGGCGACGAUGCGGAGCCGACCUGAGAGGGUGAUCGGCCACACUGGAACUGAGACACGGUCCAGACUCCUACGGGAGGCAGCAGUAGGGAAUCUUCCGCAAUGGGCGAAAGCCUGACGGAGCAACGCCGCGUGAGUGAUGAAGGUCUUCGGAUCGUAAAACUCUGUUAUUAGGGAAGAACAAAUGUGUAAGUAACUAUGCACGUCUUGACGGUACCUAAUCAGAAAGCCACGGCUAACUACGUG